CCAAAGUCGAGUUAAAGAUUAUAAAAAGGAACUUGUGGAAAGGCAACCCAACUUUUUAAUUUUUAAUCUUUUUAUUUAAUUUUAUGCAUUUUUCUUAUUUUUAUUUGAUUAGCUAUCAUUGUUUUGGUAGUUAAUUUUUGAAAUCCCACAUAUCAUGGUUCCUCACAAGUUUGGGAGUAAAUUGUUUUACAAGACAGACACUAGCCCAAGUUCAUCAAGAGCAUCACAAAUCCAAGUCAAGCAUUGGUACCCCUUCACCGAAUGUCUAAUUGGGAAAGUUUCGUUAUCCCUCUUCUCUUUUAUCUUGUUUUUUACAUAUUAAGGACAAUGUGUGAUUUAAGUUCGAGGGUGAUUGUGCUUAAAUUGGUGGUGUUGUAAUGAUAUGUUAGAUAGCCUUGCCAGCUUAGGAUGGUUUGAUGUUUGAAAUUCUUAUUGAUUCAUAAGCUAUGCAUGACCAAAUGUGCUAUUUGUGCCUAAUUUUUUCAAUUGCUUAUCCUUUUUAAGAUCUUGAAUUAUUUUGAGCAUAAUAGUCAUGACUAAUUGUUAUCUAGAUAUGAAAACUUUUGAUUGAUGGAGAGACUUUGAAUUGGUAAGAACUAGGCUGUGAGUUGCUUGAAAUUUUAUAUCAACAUAUACUUUCUUUUCUUUCACUUUACUAUAUUGUGAGAUAAGUUUGGGGUGAUCGAGCCAGUGAAGGAUAUUAUCUAGAAGAGUGUAAUUCCGGUGCCUGUUGAAAAUAUUUGUGUGGAGUAUCUUUUCCCAUUUAUAAGCUAGGUAUUAAUCAUAUGCUAGGUAUCUAAGCCUCAUUUUUGUUGCUCUUUAAACAAAUUGAAAAAAAAAACAAAAAAAAAAAGAGUUAUUGCCCUUGUUGAAUCUUGGGCCUCACUUCGUAACCUUUUUUACUCGAGUUAUUAAGUCCGUAAGGGUAUCUUGAAACUCGAUAUCCUUUGGCCUAAACAAUUGGGAAGUUAUCGACCUAAAACUCGUUACAAGAGUCAAGAAGAAAGUUUAAGGAAGUGAGGCAAAACAUAGGAUUUGGCUAAAAUAAAUUAAUUAUUAUUGUGCAAUUGUAUUUAAUAUUUGUGCUUAGAUAACUAGUGGGUUUUUUAAUUACUUAGCAUAAGUUUGAAUGUGGAAACAUUCAUUAGCGGAGAAUCAUCAUAUGACUAGAUAUUGAGAUUGCCAGUUGACCCAACCAAACUAGAGCAACCUUAGAUUUACACCUCAAGAAGCAAAAGAAAUAUCUAUUUUGGUAUGAAUCUCACGAGUGAAAAAGGAAAUAUUUGAUCACAAAGGGUCGGGUUGAAGCCAAUUUGAAGAUUUUUCCUUCUUGACAACUUUUUCCUAAUAUAGAUAAUAACUGAAAGUGACUUUGCACACACCGCACACACACUCCCCAAUCGAACAUUGGAUAAGCUUAAAUUAUUUUUGUUGGCAUUAUUUGGGGCAUAUUUGUGAAUUGAUUAUACAAUUUUACACUCAUUGAUUUUUAUGCAAACUAUUUAAUAUUGUUAAUCUUUAUCAUGCGUUACUUGAUUGUGUAGUAGAUAACCUUGCUCGGGAGUUUAAGUUUGGAGGUAUUUAAUAAUUGUGUUUUUGCACACUCGUUUAAUGUUUAAAUAAGCUUAAAUAUUGAUUAAAUGUGCGAUUUUCCAUUCACAAUUAUGUACUUAUUGUUUUUGUAGGUAAAAAUCACCCAAUGUAGUAGAACAAAGCAAAAGGAAGUGAAAGGGACUAAAAGCAUACAAAAUUGUGAAUUUGGGAACAAAAUGCAAAGUACCAAAAGUACAAGGACCUGGGUUGCAAUUAUUGGAGGCGUAAUUGAUUUAAAGGUCAAAAUUCGAGGAUCAAAUUGUAAAGUUCAAAGUUGAGGGACUUCACAUGCAAUUAUCUAAGGGAAUGGAGUUACAGAGAUCUAAAAAUGUAAAGUGGCGUCGCGGCGUCGCUGCUGUGGCGUUGCGUGCCACUUACAGGGUGCCGCGACACCAUAGCCAUGGUUGGGGUCCGUUUACCUACCCUAUUUUUGUUAGAAACUAUUUUGCAAUUAAUCAAACAUGAUUUUUGAGCCAUUUAAAAGGCAAAUUGAAUCAUUUUUGCCUCAUUAUUUAUCUUGGAAGAAAAACCCUAGGCUUCUCUCUCUCUCUCUCUCUCUCUCUCUCUCUCCCUUUUCAUUUUUCUUUUUUUUUUUUUUCUUUUUCUUUCGUCUUCUUUGUUUUCUCUUCUUUUUCUUGGUAAUUUUUGGGCAAAAUCUAAGAGCACAAGGAGAAUACAUUUGGAGGAGAAAUAUUUUGGAAAAAUCAAGAUCAAGUUAUCAUGAAUCCAAAUUCAAAAGCAUUUUAUCUUCAC
rnacentral:lncRNA from 1 species